AUUGAACGCUGGCGGCAUGCUUUACACAUGCAAGUCGAACGGUAACAGGCCGCAAGGUGCUGACGAGUGGCGAACGGGUGAGUAAUGCAUCGGAACGUGCCCAGUCGUGGGGGAUAACUACUCGAAAGAGUAGCUAAUACCGCAUACGAUCUAUGGAUGAAAGCGGGGGACCGUAAGGCCUCGCGCGAUUGGAGCGGCCGCUGUCAGAUUAGGUAGUUGGUGGGGUAAAGGCUCACCAAGCCAACGAUCUGUAGCUGGUCUGAGAGGACGACCAGCCACACUGAGACUGAGACACGGCCCAGACUCCUACGGGAGGCAGCAGUGGGGAAUUUUGGACAAUGGGCGCAAGCCUGAUCCAGCAAUGCCGCGUGCAGGAAGAAGGCCUUCGGGUUGUAAACUGCUUUUGUACGGAACGAAACGGCUCUGGUUAAUACCCGGGGCUAAUGACGGUACCGUAAGAAUAAGCACCGGCUAACUACGU
rnacentral:rRNA from 1 species